rnacentral:rRNA from 1 species
UACGAAGGGGGCAAGCGUUGUUCGGAAUUACUGGGCGUAAAGCGUGCGCAGGCGGUUUUGUAAGUCUGUCGUGAAAGCCCCGGGCUCAACCUGGGAAUUGCGAUGGAGACUGCAAGGCUUGAAUCUGGCAGAGGGGGGUAGAAUUCCACGUGUAGCAGUGAAAUGCGUAGAGAUGUGGAGGAACACCGAUGGCGAAGGCAGCCCCCUGGGUCAAGAUUGACGCUCAUGCACGAAAGCGUGGGGGAGCAAACAGG